rnacentral:rRNA from 1 species
ACGCAGCCAUGCCGCGUGUGUGAAGAAGGCCCUAGGGUUGUAAAGCACUUUCAAUUGGGAGGAAAAGCUAAUGGUUAAUAGCCAUUAGCCCUGACGUUACCUUUAGAAGAAGCACCGGCUAACUCCGUGCCAGCAGCCGCGGUAAUACGGAGGGUGCAAGCGUUAAUCGGAAUUACUGGGCGUAAAGCGCGCGUAGGCGGCUCUUUAAGUCGGAUGUGAAAGCCCCGGGCUCAACCUGGGAACUGCAUCCGAUACUGGAGGGCUAGAGUGUAGGAGAGGGAGGUAGAAUUCCAUGUGUAGCAGUGAAAUGCGUAGAUAUAUGGAGGAAUACCAGUGGCGAAGGCGGCCUCCUGGCUUAACACUGACGCUGAGGUGCGAAAGCGUGGGGAGCAAACGGGAUUAGAUACCCCGGUAGUCCACGCCGUAAACGAUGUCUACUAGCUGUAGGGGUACUUGAGACCUUUGUAGCGCAGCUAACGCACUAAGUAGACCGCCUGGGGAGUACGGCCGCAAGGUUAAAACUCAAAUGAAUUGACGGGGGCCCGCACAAGCAGUGGAGCAUGUGGUUUAAUUCGAUGCAACGCGAAGAACCUUACCAGGCCUUGACAUCCCCGGAACUUUCUAGAGAUAGAUUGGUGCCUUCGGGAACCGGGUGACAGGUGCUGCAUGGCUGUCGUCAGCUCGUGUCGUGAGAUGUUGGGUUAAGUCCCGUAACGAGCGCAACCCUUGUCCUUAGUUGCCAGCAGGUUAAGCUGGGCACUCUAGAGAAACUGCCCGUGAUAAGCGGGAGGAAGGUGUGGAUGACGUCAAGUCCUCAUGGCCCUUACGGGUUGGGCUACACACGUGCUACAAUGGCAGUGACAAUGGG